ensembl:lncRNA
AACUAAGGCAAACAGAAUAACAGCAGAGGUCUUCAGUUCUGUAUUCGCAAAUUUACAUGCUAUGUUAGCUCCGACUUCAUUAACUACUAACUAGGGAUACCCUAAGCCUCUACAGCAGUAAGCAAGAUUGCAAUCUUUGCAUCUCUACAGAAAACCCUGUGCACUGUGAGGCAGAAGCAAGGCAUCGGUCCCCUUGCUCCUCUCCUCCACCAAACCACCGCAGCCGAGCGCGUGAAGCUUCCCUUUGUUCAACGAGGCUCCGCUCUCCUCCCCAGCAGAUCCACCUGGACGCUCUCCCUCGAGCGGCGCGGGGAGCCCAGGGGAGAUGCCGGACCACCCACUGGCGGGGAAGCAGCGAGCCGCCCUCCCGCGCC